AAACAUAUUAUUAAUAUACAUAAAAAUGUGUGGAACAGUAAUAUAUAUUGAAUAGCAUGUAGUAUAUGAGACUAUUAGGGGGAAAUUGUAGAAUGUCCAUAGUACAUGGAAAAGGAAACAACAACACACAACACCAAAGCUUUUCAAUCCCAAACCAUUUGGGAUAGGUCAGAUAUGAAAACCAUAAGAUCUUGAAACCAAUUCAUGGUUCUCACAUGUGGACAGCUAACUUCCACACACACCUUUCUAUUUCAUAAAGGAAACAAGAAAUUAAAGCCACAAUGCAAUAGAAAAGACAAUCAACACAAUUAAUUGGCUAAGUAGUAUGCUUUCAGAUAAUACAAUCAACACAAUUCAGUAGUUUCAUUGUUCUCAAGAACUUGGUGAAAAAGCAUAAUACACAACCGAAAAUUCAUAUAAAAUCUUAAAUUGGGCUCCCGCUGAUUUCUUUAUCCCAAAAUGUCAAAUAUCUUCAAUUCCAUUAGGAGCCUAUAACUUGAAAUAACUAUCACAUUAAUACAAAUCUUAGCAUAAUAUGACAAUUUUUCAAACAAAAAGUAAGACAAUUAUUUACCACUACGUUGUAGUUAUAGGAGGGUGAUUGUGUAGACGGCUUCUAUGAUUUCUUAGGCAAUGAAAUUAUUCUAUAAUGUUCUGGUCUACAAUUCUAGUAAAUAUAUCUCGUUCAAUAUAGCAUACGGUCAUAUCAUUCAAUCAUUCUCUACCUACGUUGUUACUCAAAUAUGUCUUUGCUACCAUGGCUGAGAGAGCGCUUCUAAUUGAUGGUCUCGCUAGUACCAACAAUAUCAUUGCAAGCUUGAUGAGUGUAUAAACCAGUGGAAAACACAGACACUCCUUAGUUUGAACUGACUUGAUACACAUACUUGAUAGACUAUCACAAGCACAAAAAAAUAGGAGAUGCUUUCAUCAUAUCAAUGCAUAUGCCAAGCUGACCACUCAAAAUUUCACAUUCUUCCACAUAAAAUUCAGCGUAGUAAAUACUUGCAAUCUCAAUUGCCUUCUCAUGAUUAAAGCUACUUAACGAGUCUCUAGCAUCUAGAGACGAAAUGCAAAUCAAUAACCAGGUUGUUAUUUCAAUGAAUCAUUGCAAAGCUACUGAAUAUUUUUACCUUGUACUGACGGAAGGUAGUGAUGGAAGCAAGUAAUAGACUUGCGUGAACUCAUUGGAUAACCCCUUGCUCAAAAAUCUCUUUGAAUGCAAUAUACAAUUAUAAAGUCCAUAAUUGGCUCACACUCUUCAUCCCUGAAAUUUCGCAAUAACCUUUUCACACACAAAAUCAUGUUCAUUGCACUAGCUAUGUGCUGGUCCUUUUGUUGCAAUGGUUUUGACAAAUAAUUAGCCAAACUAAGGAUAAUCAUCACGUGCAAGAUAAGCACAAUUUCAAAGACUAACAUUUAUUUGGUCAAACCUGGUGAUUGGGUUUAGAGUUCUUUGGUACGAUCCCCAACGUGUAUCAGCAGGUAUUCCUACAGUUGUCUCUUGUGGUUUUCCCCUGCCUUUCAUAAGAUCCCUAUUUUCCAAUAUUUUCAUAAUCUUGUCAUGAUGUUUCUGUAGGACUACUUUCGCAACAACUAGUGGAACCUACUGGUCAAAAGAAUGCACAUAAAAUGCAUGAUAUUGUCAUCUAGCACUAGUUCUGUUAAACCAUUCGGCCGCCCACAUAUAUUUGAGGUUCUAUCAUAUCCUGGACCUCUUAGUCUAGAAAUGGUCAAAUUAUGGGUAGAAACCACUUUAUCCACAUAUCGUUUGAGAGCAGCAGAUCUAGUGCCAAGAACAUGCUCUAACACAUAUAUAUCAGUCUUUCUAAGGUCUGCCAUUGAUUAAUGGUUAUUCGUAAACCUCACAAUCACAUCCUCUUCCUCCUUGAUCGAUUCAUCACAGGACUCAUCAACAAGCGAUAAUUGAGAAUUCCCAGCUCAUUCAUCAUGAAUUCAAUAGUUUCUUCAGCACAAGCUUGCACCAAUUGCUUUUGUGUAUCAUUACAAGCCAUUUGAUGACUUGUAGGAGCAUUCUCAUGGAUAACACCAGCUGCUUCUUUACAUCUUCAGCACACCAGUUUACAUGUCAUAAAUUAACCUUAUAUCUUAUAUUCUUAGACCCAUCAUGACCACAUAAAGCAGGACUGUGCCUAAGAAGAAACCUUCAGUCCUACAACAGCCAUCAAACGAUCCUGGUAUCUUAUUCCCAGUUUAAGUAGUGAUUCAUAUGCCACACUUUGUCUUUGAUUGUUUAAAUCUCCACAAUGUAUUAUCUGAAUUGUUGUAAUCACUCUUUGUUGAUCCUCCAUGGAAUCUGCAGUUUGUGAAUAUUCACCCUCAAACAUUCAACAGAUUGUUGGUUUCUUGAAAUGAAAAUGAUAAAAAAAACAAUAAGCAAUACUUUUGGCUACACUGAUCUCUAGCCAACCAAACUUCUUAUACCAUAUAGCUCUAAAUGCCCUGUCAUCUUCAUUGUGUUUAAAAUAAUGAUCUUUAGGCUGACAUGGACCUUUCUUGCAGACAUACCCUCCUGACAUCGUCUUUGAUUUCUAAGUAGCAUACUCUUUAAUUUGUUUCCUAAGGCCCAGAACAACUUCAAUGUCAACUUGAUUAAAUCUCUGAAGAACAUUAGCUUGCAAAUUGUUUGUAUCAGUCUCUUGAUUACAUUAGCUUGCAAAUUGUUUGUAUUAGCGUCUGGAAUGGUUGCCUUUACUUGAGAGAGAUUCUUGAAUUGGGGGUCCGGACUGAUUUACCAGGCGAACUCUGAGAAAAAGAAGGAAUGUGAUUCAUCUUCUUAGGUCCCUAUAACAUCAAAUUUGGUAAUUGCUUGUCAGCAUCCAACUUUCAAUAAUUAGGCAAAUGUGACAAGAAAUUUAACGAAUGGUGAAUGGAAGAAGAGGAUUCAGGGAGUGUGGAACAACCUGUUGCAUGCUGCCUUUGUUCGUUGGUUGCUUGCAAUUUUUAGUGGGUCGCAUGGCUGUGGCGAUGCUGCCUCCAGUGCAGACAACGGCCUGAGCAGGAACAGGUGGAGUUCCAUCCAUCCAGUGUCGUUAGCUCGACUUGGGCAACGUUGCGGUAAGGCGACGAGCUGGGGUGCGUGGUGGCCGUUACUGCCUGAUCGGUUCUCUGGUCGAUCAUCAUCUGGAAACCCACGUGUGUGUGUGCGCGCGCGCUUGCGGGGAGGGGGGGGGGUCAUGGCCGCAAGGUUAAUGGGCUCAUGUAACUCGGCAUUUACUGCCAAAUGCUAUGAAUUACUUGCUAGUCCAACCCACAAACGAAUCACUGUCUUCCCUUUUCUCAUCUUUCUGCUCACCAUUUCCUGAUCAGGAUUUACUGUUAGGUUCCAAGAUUUUACACGACCGCGUGCUAUAAUUCUACACCUAUUCUCUUCUUAUUUUCUUAUUUUGUUGAAAUUAAUAGUCAUAAAUAUCAUAGAAAAAGGCAGAAAGAAGUGGGUUUAUUGAUGUCAUUUAUGUAGUUGUAGACUGACGAUUGUGCGCUUUUGCAAGUGACUUAUACUUGGCGUUAUGCAUUUUUAGUAAUGCAGUGUGUGGUACUUUAUCUUUUAGUUUUGUAAAAAAGUAAAUAAUGGAUAUCCUGCGGUUGAUAAGACAACAUAUCCCUGCAAAUUAAAUACAGUUUUAUGUGCUUCCAUUGGACCUGCAUCAUGGACCAUAAAGUAUAUUUGUAUAUGCAUCCCCGGCCGAUAAAACUGUGUUUUUUAAUUCUUGUUAGCAUGGAUUCGGACCGAGAAGAGAUCAAUGUUGUGGAGAUAAAAGAUUACACGUCAGAUAAUGAUGAAGAAAAGGUUGCUAAAGAAAAGGUUGCUAAAGAAAAGGAUGCUGAAGAAGAGCAUCUCGAGUUGGUAGUUGAUCAAGCUACUGGUAAGGCCAAAUACCGAAAAAGGCUUUCGGGCGCUAGCAAGUGAGUGUUGUAUGCAAUAGAAGCACAUGAUAUUCUUGUGAUUGACCAGUGGUUGCUGGGUUUCGAUUGAGUUAAACUGUAUUUGGUAAUAAACAAAUAAAGUUUAGAUAGUGUUAUUUGACAGUUUUUUUCGUCCUCUUUGAGUGCCCUCUUAUGCUAAAUGAUUUAGAUAUCUUCUUACAAAUCAGUACUUGUUUCUUUUCCAAAAUUCUCGUUAAGUAGAAUAUGUACUCCUGAUAAUUAAAAUGGCUAAUUGUUAGGUAACAGAGCACCAUUUUAUGUAAGGUAUGAGGAUUGGAUGAUUAGCAAGAUAAAUGGUCAAACAGUAGUAUGUUUGCAGCUGUAUUGAGGUAGAAGCAAGAUGGGUGUUGAAAUGGAUUCCUGAACUUCCAAAUUUGAUUUCGACAUAGUGCAGCUUAAAGGAAAGCAAUACACCCUAGUUUUUAAAAUCUGAAAUAAAACUAUUUGCACAGUAAUUUACAUCAAGGUCGAUUCUGUGAGCCUUGUUUGAAAAAAUAUGCAAUCUGCUGGCGUAUUGGUUUUUAUAAGGUUGUCAGUUGUUGAGUGGUUGUUCACCAUUGGAAACUUGAGAAACAAGGACUCGGAAUUAGUCAAGAAAAGCUUAAUUUUAUUCUAUCUUGCAGGCCACUUCUAAGGCACGUUGCGCAUUAACUAUUGAAGGCCCAGUAGGAGGCCCACCUUUGGAUUUUAGCAUUUGACCCGAAACAAAUUUUAAGAAAUCCCACGAAAAAACAAUUAUAAACAUCACUAUCAGAUUCAUCUAUCCCACCUUCUUCUCCAAGGCCUUUCGCAGAUGACCGGCCGCAGUCGGCGUGCUUAACUUUUCAUCACCAUGAUCAGCCGCACACGCAUGAUCUGUUGGUCGCAACACCAGGGUCGUAUCCUCGGGGACGACGCACGACGCCCUGCCAUUCAUGGACGUAGCUAGGCUACCCAACCACAGGUCGACGAGUAUCUUGGGCUGGCCGCUGGUGCUGGUUGGCGGUGGCCCAUGCAUGACCUAAAUGCUUCCUUCUGCCAUUUACAUGCUAUAGCCCUUCUCACGGACCAACCUUGCGAGAUACUUCCUCUGUAAACUUUUAUAAGAACUUCUAGAUCACGUAGGGAGUACUUCAGAAGCAUACACAUCCUUGCAUGAACAAUUUAGACCGACUUGAUACAGUUUGCUCGCUGAUCUCUCUGUUCAUUAUCUCAUAUUGUUUCAUUUCCAAACGCACGUCGGCCAGCCCAGAUGGACGUAGCGUCAUUUUGAUGGCUCUGUGCAUGAUCAACCAACAGGAUUGUGCUCCUCUCCAUGUGAACGGAGGAUCCGAUUUGCUUUUAGAAAAACAGAGGAUCCGGUGUCUACCCCGUGCGUUCUCUUCUUCACAAGGAACCGCCGUCUACUCGACCCUCCUCCGAGUCCAUGUCCUGGUCUUGGGUCUAUUAGCAUGCUCAUAUAGUUAGCUUCUUUUAGCAUUCUCAUAUUGUCAAUUCCGAACCCUGAUGCUAGAAGUUUCAUACUGCUAAAAAUGAAAGAACCAAAUUGAAACCUAGACCUCUGGAUUUCCGCAGGUUACUAUGACAACAAAUGAAAGGAAUCUAGCUGGGUGAAAUAAGAUGAAUGCAUGGCAGGAUCGAUCGUUGGUACUUCUUUUUAUUGUGACCAUCACGUUGCGUAUAACCAUAGUUGGCAGCGUGCCAGCGUACAUGCGUCGAAUUGCCUACUUGAGCCAGCCAGCCUUUGGCUAACGACCAUCUGGGAUAUUGAUCGGCAAGCCGACGGACUUCAUGCAACAACAAAUACCAAGGAUCGGACAUGCAGAUCGUCUAUAGUACUAGAAAUUUGACGGCACAGCAAAAGUAAGGACCUGAAUUACAUAGCAUGGAGAAGGAGACAUGCAUACCCUGUUGGUUUUGGCGCCAAAGCUGCAUGGUCCGUGAGACCAUGACACAGGAGGAAGGUCAGGCCCGCCUGAUCAGGGGUACAACUCCGACUUCCAUAUGCGGAAGAUGCUUAUUGCGAGAGAAGCGAAUGCCGGAGCUGGAACUGACUAUAUCACCUGAGCUGAAGUCCUCUCUAUCUCUCUUUCUCCGUCGCCGGUUGGUGCUUGCCGACGGUCACAAUGCUUAUUAUUAUAUGUUACAGGCUUUGGCUAAG
rnacentral:lncRNA from 1 species